rnacentral:rRNA from 1 species
GGCGAACGGGUGAGUAACACGUGGGUGAUCUGCCCUGCACUCUGGGAUAAGCCUGGGAAACUGGGUCUAAUACCGGAUAGGACCAUGCUUUAGUGUGUGUGGUGGAAAGUUUUUCGGUGUAGGAUGAGCCCGCGGCCUAUCAGCUUGUUGGUGGGGUAAUGGCCUACCAAGGCGGCGACGGGUAGCCGGACUGAGAGGUUGGCGGCCACAUUGGGACUGAGAUACGGCCCAG